rnacentral:lncRNA from 1 species
GAAAAUGAAUAGGCUAGCUAAAGAAAGCUUGCUAAGUUCAAUCUCUAAGGUUUCAUGACCUACUUGNGCUGACUCAUACUUGAUCUGAUUGCAUUUUAUUGUAAUUGAGAGAAUACCCCAAAUGAAUUUGACUUUACUUUUUUUUGUUUCCGAAGUAACUCUCAUCAACUAGCACUAGUUUGAUGUGAACUUUUAGGAGUAAUUCAACCAAUGGUUAGAUCUAAAAUAAUAACAUACCCUUCAUAUGAGCCCACUAUACAUAUUGAUAUACCUAUAGAUCCACCGACUUUACAUUUUAGCCAUCCACCGAUCCCGAUCUAUUUGAAACUAGCUAGAAUUCAUUUACCCAUAGAUCCUUUUCUACAGGCAUAAGAACUUUUUCCUUUAUGUUUAGCGAAAAUUACAUGUUAGACCAUAUUUUUCGAAAUAGAUAACUUUCGACUCCAUGUCUAGUGUUAA